rnacentral:lncRNA from 1 species
GAGAACCCAGACGGGCAGAGCCUGGGUAGGAGAGCCUGGCCCCGCUGUCCCCACUGGGUGGAGACACCAUGCACUUGGUCCACUUGUGCUCUUCAGCCAGGACACCAGACAUGGUCCAAACCGCUGCAGGGCUGGCUGCAGCAACUCCCUGACACUCAGGAAGGCCCAGGCUGGGCAGGCAAUACCUGCUCCCAACAGCCAUGCAUGCCGGCUGCCGCUCCAGGACUCCCCUGUCCCCAGGACCAAGAUGACGCCCAACAGCACUGGCGAGGAAGUGCCAGUGCAGCGGCAGUGCCCGUAGCCAUGGGGCUGGGCGAUCAGCGCUACACAGCCCCCUGGAGGGCAGCCGCCCAAAGGUGCCUGCAGGGGCUGUGGGGAAGAGCCUCCCGGGACAGUCCCGGCCCCAGCAUUGCCUACCACCCAAGCAGCCAAAGCAGUGUCGACCUGGACUUGAACUAAAGGAAGGGCCUCUGCUGACUCCUACCAGAGCAUCCGUCCAGCUCAGCCAUCCAGCCUGUCUCUACCGGGCCCCACUUCUCUGGAUCAGAGACCCUGCCUCUGUUUGACCCCGCACUGACUGAAUAAAGCUCCUCUGGCCGUU